rnacentral:rRNA from 1 species
UGUGCCAGCAGCCGCGGUAAUACGGAGGGUCCAAGCGUUAUCCGGAUUCACUGGGUUUAAAGGGUGCGCAGGCGGACAAGUAAGUCAGUGGUGAAAGCCUUCGGCUCAACCGGAGAAUUGCCAUUGAAACUACUUGGCUUGAGUGCAGCAGAGGUAGGCGGAAUGUAGCAUGUAGCGGUGAAAUGCAUAGAUAUGCUACAGAACACCGAUAGCGAAAGCAGCUUACCACACUGUAACUGACGCUGAGGCACGAAAGCAUGGGUAGCAAACAGGAUUAGAAACCCCUGUAGUCC